ACCUUUUAAGGACGGACAUAUACGUAUACGUGUAAUUUCAGGUAGUAGAAGUGCAGAUCUGGACCUUUUCCGUAAACAAAAAUCUGAAAAUCCAAAUCCCAGGAUGUGAGAAGUCUCAGGUCCAAAUGUAGCAAUUCCCUCUCCAGUGACAAAGCGGAACUACAAAUUGAAGUGAGAAAUCGACUAGCACCGUCGUAAGGAAAUUUUUUUCUCUCAUCAAAAUUCUCGAUGUUAUGUAAAUACAUAAUUUAAUUUUAUCGAUAAUGUCCUUUUCUUUUACUUUUUUCGUUACUCGAAUGUGUCUUAUAAUAUAAGCUCUUCUUAGAAUGAAACUUAGGUUCUACAUUGAUUGGAUAUUUUUCUGAAAAUUGAGCUGGUAAAAUAUACUCCCUCGGAAUAAAAAAAAAAAGAGCGUCCACUUAAUAAUUUACUAACAAUUUACAAAAAAACCCCCACCCCACCCCACCCCCAUAUUAACUCCGAGUUAAUUUGACUAAAUUACCUCAGGGAAAUCAACACCUUUUGUUUCUUCUUCAGAAUAUUUUGGAUAUAGAUUUUUAGUUGAUCAGUAGUGUUAAAUGAUAGAAGGGUGUGUGCGUGGAGGAUUGGAUAAUGUCUACUUUAUACAUUACUGCAUUUACAAAAGUUGAGAAUAUAAAGAAUGAUCUGCUUAUAUGCUGCAUUUUUUUUUUUUUUUUUUGAGGAAAGAUUGAUUCUAUUUUCUUGUUAACUUUUCACAUUGUAGGUACAACAUUUGAUUCACCCUAGUUGAUAAUUCUCAAUGAGUUUAGCAGGAAAAUUUGUGGUUUGGCUCAUUUUUUGGUCACAUAUUUACUCAGUUAUAGUUUAGGUGCCAUAUUUUCUUCACUGCCGUAUUUCCUUUUUCAUAACUACUUUGAUUUGCUGCAUUUGAGCUUUGAGUCUUUCAAAAACAGACUCUCCACCUCCACGAGUUAGGGUAAGACACUCUACCCUUUCUAGACCCCACUUGUGGGAUUAGACUGGGUAUGUUGUUGUUGUAGUAGUAUUUGCUCAAUUAUAGUCAUAUUUAACUCUGGUUAAUUGGUUUUGAAACAAAACUUUGGCAACCAUCUAUUUAUUUUUCUUGGUCGCAUCGAUAAUAACAAUUAUGCAUGUAAACUUCUAAUUCCUCUACUGGAUUAAUAUCAUUUGAGGCGUUUUCAUUGUGCAAGCUGGCUGUUAGGAAUGAGAAGGAUCUGGAAAGUUUAAAUGUGUCACCUAAUACCGGAGCAUGAACUCUUUCUGGUAGUAUUACUCAGGAGAGGAAUGGUACCUUUCCAACUAUGUUCAAUGGAGGAAACCAUGAUACAUCUACAUCCAAUUACCUUUGAGAGCUGCUCCUUAUUGAAGUGAAGAUAUUCCCAUAGAAGAUGCAGAUGAUACGAAGGAACUCAAAGAGGGUGAUCUGCAGAAACUUAGAAGGGUUAAUAUAAAUCUCAUCUUUUGGAUAGGACUUCUUUGUACAUUUCCCUGACACCCUUCAUGACACUCAUGACUGGUUUCUUUUAUGGCCAAACACAAAGGGGAUUCAUAUGGAUUGAUGGUUGCCUCCAGAGGGACCAAGUUCAAUUCAUCUCUUUAACUUAGACUCUACUGCUGGCUUACCCAAUGGAUUCCAGAGAAGUAUAUAUCAUUCCCCGUAAGCAUAUUAUUAUAAUCGACAUUUUUUACUUCUACAUUUGUGUUUGAAAUAAUAAUUUGGUUGGCAUAAUCAACAUAUUUACUUCUACAUUAAUAUUGCGUUGGGCUCUAGAGGUUCUUUCAGCAUAUUUUGCUUCAUUUGUGAUAUUAUAGCUAGGGAUGUGGAAGGUGAUAAGUCUUGGAUUCAGGACAAAAGUUUUAUCAAGGGCCCUUUUUUAACCUAAUCGAAAGUUAGGAUGAAUCACACGUGGUAGAGAUAUGAAAUCUCUGCCUAUGACUGCAGGGGAUUUGCCUUCUGGGUCGAGCUCGUCGCACGAGGUUUGCCCAGUAAGGGUUAUCUCUCAUGUGUGGUUUACGAGCUAUUGCGCAGGAGCUGGGUUUACUCUGUGCACACCCGAAAGGUGGCAGCUGCGGGUUCCCAUGUCAUCAAAAAAAAAAAAAAUCUCUGAGCAAACUUACUUUCUAUAUAGAGUUUUUACCUUGUCGGAUGCUCCAUAAUUGCAGGUUGUGCCCAACACGUCUAAGUAAUGGCACGUCUACUGAUUGCUACAUUUACUGCUUAUAACUUAAAAAUUUAUUAUGUCAUGGAUGAUGGAUCUCACAGUCAACAAUUCUCCAACUUAGUUGCAGGUACUGCACGUUAGGCAGACAUGCUUAUCUUCCUUUAUCCUAAGCUGUUGAGCCAAUUAUGGUACGUGUUUUGAGCUAGACGGAGAUAUUUUAAAUGGUAAGACCGACUAUUAUGCUUAGUGAUGAGAUACAUCAAUGUGAACUUUUCAGAUGUAAUAACUCAUGAACAACUAACAAGUAUUUUGACUUAUGUUUCUGCCUGUAGUUAUCAAUUCAACAUCAUUUUUUCCUGUCCAA